GCACACAUCUAUUUAUCACCAUUUGGUAUCCAUACAUUCGGCUAUACAACAUCAGUUCAUCCAUCUAAGUUCAUACGCAUGCAUCAGCUCAUACAAAAUUACAAAAGCGUCAAUUCCAUUGGCAAUGAAGCAUCAGUACAUUACUUGAACUGGCAGCUACUUAGCAAACAUCCAGAACCAUGAAUUGCAUCCCAAAAAAAAUGAACUGCGACUUGUACAGCGCAGGGUUUGCAAGAACUUCAGAAAUUUCAGGGUAAUGCUAAGCCAAACUUGCAGAUACUACUUGUAAACACAAGAAUUAGGAAGAAGCAAAUCCAAAUUCGUUCUUCAUGCACGCACGGAAGAGGAUCUGGAGGGGACUGUCAGGCUUGGGGCACAGAUGCAACUUGAUCCAGUGGGAGGCGGCAGCAGGGCAACGGCCGACCGGAUCUGGAGGUUGCCAUCGAGCUUGACGAGAUGUGGCGGAUGGGGUAGCCGGAGUCGAGCUCGGGACGGCCGGCGGGGGGGUAGGCGGCGGGGAAGAUGGGGAAGCCGGAGUCGAGCUCCUGGACGGUCGGCGUUGGGGUAGGCGGCGGGGAAGAUGGGGAAGCCGGAGUUGAGCUCCUGGACGACCGGCGGUGUGGAGGAGGCGGGGCGGCCAGUUGCUGGGGAGAUGAGGAGGAGGCGAGGCUGCCGGCGGGGGAGAAGAGGUGGGGCGGGGGAGGAGCAUCCGCGGCAGGGAUGCGAGCUUAGGGUCUAUGUGGCGAUUUGUUUCUGCUCGGCUGCACGCUCGGGUAUCGAUGGGGAAAAAAACAAUUCGCGGAAUCGCGGCCUGGAACUUGCCGGUGGCAUUUUACCCGUAAAAACGGUUCGCCGCGAGAGCGCAAGUCCCAAAAUGCUGCGUGGAG
rnacentral:lncRNA from 1 species